rnacentral:rRNA from 1 species
CCAGACUCCUACGGGAGGCAGCAGUGGGGGAUAUUGCACAAUGGGGGGAACCCUGAUGCAGCGACGCCGCGUGGGUGAAGGAGUGCUUCGGCAUGUAAAGCCCUAUCGGCAGGGAAGAAGCAAGACGGUACCUGACUAAGAAGCAUCGGCUAACUCCGUGCCAGCAGCCGCGGUAAUACGGAGGAUGCGAGCGUUAUCCGGAUUUAUUGGGUUUAAAGGGUGCGUAGGCGGACUGUUAAGUCAGCGGUAAAAGCCGGGGCCUAAACCCGGGCGAGCCGUUGAAACUGGCUGUCUUGAGAUGUCGAGAGGUAUGCGGAAUGCGCAGUGUAGCGGUGAAAUGCUUAGAUAUUGCGCAGAACUCCGAUUGCGAAGGCAGCAUACCGGCGGCGAUCUGACGCUGAGGCACGAAAGCGUGGGUAUCGAACAGGAUUAGAUACCCUGGUAC